rfam:Candidatus Pacearchaeota archaeon CG1_02_35_32 cg1_0.2_scaffold_4049_c, whole genome shotgun sequence.
AGCCCUGUAGUCUAGUGGUCAAGGAUACGGGCUUUUGGAGCCCGGGACCCCGGUUCGAAUCCGGGCAGGGCUA